rnacentral:lncRNA from 10 species
AGAUCAGCCCUGGGGUUCAGAGGGAUCCUGACAGCUACUCCUCAAGAUCCUCUCUGUUGUGAUUCAUCCCCCCGGGGCCCUACAGUUUCUCCUUCCUGACUCUUACAUUUCUUUGGAUGGCAUCAUUAUUUACCUGUCUCCUCCCAUAGUUAGGUGCCAAGCACUGUGGAUUCUGCCUCUCAGUGUCCAGACACCCAUUUUCCUUCCCACUGUUCCUUCCCCAUGGAGAAGCCUGUGGCUGGCUGACAGCAGAGAGAGAUGCUCAACUUGGAGAAGGUGUUACCUGGGCCAGGUGGGGAAGGUUUGUUUGCAGAGCAAAGAAGUGAAGGAAGUAUUAACCCUUUGCAUGGCCUCCUGAGAAUCCGACAAGACGUAAAUAGCCAAGAAUAUCUGUGAAACUUCAUCACUGAGUUACAAUAUUUAUCACUCCUAUUCAACGUGAAAAAGAUGAGGAUGAAGACCUUUAUUAUGAUCCACUUCCAAGUAAUGAACACACUGGAGAAAGUCAGACAGUCAAAACAAUGUCCCAGACUCCGUGAAGUUCCUGGGUAGAGAAGGAGACAGACAUAUACCAUACCUAAUAAUUGGAUGUCCGAGAGAAUGAGAGAAUGGCAGAAAGAACUUUAGAGCAUGGGUAUGAUGGCUAGAGCUUGAGCAGCCAUUGUGGACAUCAGAU